rnacentral:misc_RNA from 1 species
CUGGCUCAAGGGGAGGCUCCGAUCUAGUCCUCCCGCACCCCGUCCAGAGCUGUUGACGUGGGCCGAACUGGGUCUAUGUUUGAACUCCCAUGAGAUGCGAAGAAGAAAAAGUCGUCUGUCUCACUCUCCUCUUGAUUAAAUGAUCUGUAAUUGAACAUCUUUUAUCCUUUUUUGCAGUUGGUGAGCGACUCGUGCUAUUAAUUUUGGAAAAGUUACAGAUUUUGGAAUGAAAAUGGAUGGGCUUCUGAGAUUAAGCAUUGAAAAACUUUUUAUUAAUCUUUUUCUGUGGCGUUCACUGUUACAGACUGGCAGGGAACAAAUUCAGAUAUUGAUUUCUUUGAAGCUCUGUAGCCCAGGAGUACACUUACAGGUUUCUAUUGCCAUGCCUGAUUUAUCCUUAUGGAACUUAUGUUUGCUCUUUAUUUGGCCUUCAAUUGCUAUUUUGUAGAUACAACUAUGUAUGUUUCAUACAAGAUAGAGCAACAAAUUGGGAUAAUAAAAUCACUAAGGAACUACAAAUUAGUACUAAAGACUACUUUUUUAGCAGCUUACAGCCUUAAAAUUAUAUAGAGACACUGUUGGGAAUUCCCUUGCCAGUGAGUCCACCCUUUCUAGAGUUAUCUGAGGUGUUAGGGAAAAGUAAGGUGUAAGGCACCUUUACAGGCCCAACUCUGUUCUUCCAUUUCUCGUCAUUGUUCAUAUCUAUAAUUUUCUUUUCAAUUUCUUUCAGCCUAUUUGCAAACCUUUCAAAUGCUGCUAGUGGUUCAGGAUCUGAAGUCCAGUUAGUAGCGUCUCUUUGUCCAAGGUAGACCUCAUCAGUUGAAUGCCUUGAUAAAAUCUCAAUGAGGGCUACACCAACCAGGGUUUGUAGUUGUGCUGUGAUUGUUUUCAGGAAGGCGAGGUUUGGGUUUCUCUCCAAUUCAGCAUACUCAGGGGUGCCAACCUCAGGCAUGAAACGACGACUUAGAGUUGGACGGUUAGGGAGGUAGCCAGCAUAAGGGUAUUGCCCAAAAUUGACAGCUGCAUGGAGGGCUGAAGCUAUCCAUAUGAUAAUAGUGCAUGUUUGUGUAAGAUCAGCUAGUGUCUGCAUCUCAGGCCACCAUGGUUCAUCUUUCUUGUCGCCAUGCCCCUCAUUGCGAAUCUCUGUCCACCAUGACUGCAGUUCAUUAUCGUUUUGAACAAUGUCAUUUUCUGGGUAGUAGAAAGCACAAUAUUCCUCAACCCAUGUAUGUAUUGCAGACCAGAUUUCUAAACCAUCAACAGCAUAAGGGUAAUCUUCUAUCAGAAGUCUGAGACCAUGUGGCUGCGUUGAAUCUGGAACUGCUACUCCUCUGAAAUGUAGCAGAACUAGGAUGAAUUUUUGUUUCUCCAGAGAUCAAAAGUUUGGACAAAAGGCCAUUAUACAGUGCAAGGUUCUGUGAUUUACCUCUUGAGCAGAUCAGCAGGGAGUGCCUGCUCAGGGAAAACCCAAUUCUUGUAAACAACAGCAGACAGUUCCAUGGCAUAUUUGGCUGGGAAGACAGUAUUCUCGAGUACCCCUCCAGCAUUGAUCAGAAUCUGCCUAGCUAAGGCAUUUAUGUUCAUUGUAUCACGGAAGUGGGGUUGCAGAAGUUUAUAUAUCGGAUGAAGAACACUCAACUGUCUGUUUGUGGCAAUUAUGAAUGGCUCUAUCACAGCAUGGGUGUUUAACCUGCAAACGAAGGCACAAGCAUUGAGGCAUGCGUUCUACAUCAGAACACAUUUUACCUUGUGCUACUAUAUAGCCUCAUUCUUGAAUCAUACCAGUGGCUAAUGAGCUGAUGGUAUCCAGAAUCAUUUACAGCGGCAUAAGCUUUGGCCAGCUGCCACACUGAGCCCUCAACGCCGUAUUCUGCUGGAGUGAAAACUUUGCUGACAGCACCAUGACGUUGCCCUUGCGGAUGUGGGAGACUUAAUUCAAUAGCCAAUGGCUUCAAUGUCCCAUCAUUUUGCAGUAACAGGAUUGUUCUUGUAGCAUAAGUCUUUGUGGUUGUUGAGUUUAUUUUUGUCAAGUAUGGCAUCAAUGCAUCAUGAUGAUCUAAUAUAAACAGUCUGUUACUUCUGAUUGCCUACACAUGUAGAUAAGAAGUUAAAAAAAAAAAGUGUUUCUUGAUUGUAAGAUUGGUUUUCAAGCACGAAUAAAGACAUGAAAGAAAAGGAGCGUGUUUAGUACUUGAUCUACUUUGAGCCCAUUCAUGUUCUCUUCUAUUUGCUCUUUUGUUAUUGUACUGGUAUGGUUCCCAAAUUCUCUAGUGUCUAGCUUGCUGGUAGGAGGAAACUCCUGCAAAUAAAUUUUAGUAAAUUGUCAGGGCUAAAAGACCAUAUAACAGAAAAUUUUACCUAAAGUUGAUUUUUACUCGAAGGCGACUGAUGAUGACUGGGUUGACUCCAGCAAGCAUUUCUCGUCCAAACUCUUCAUCUGUCCUCCAAGCAGACUUAUCCUCUGCAAUUAUACUGUCAGAACUUCAUAACUGCCGGUAAAAUUUCUUAAGAUAUGGGAUUUUAAACUAACUUGGAGGAGAAAAGAAAAAUGUAUAUAUACACCUUUGAUCACGUCAGGCUUUGGGAAUUUGAGGAAUCGUUCACCAUCGUUACGCACGAGUUCCUUGAACAUCUCCCCUGGGAUGCAAUUCCUUAAUUUUUUGGUCGUGAUCGCACUUGGAAGUCUAAUGCUCCCUUCAUAGAGAUUAAGAACAUCUUCAAAGGAAUCAAACUCGUUUAUAGUCUUGUCACAUAAAGAUUUGAACUCGGGGACUAAAACUUGAACCAAGGAUUUCAGAGCAUAGGCAAGAAAGUCUGAAAACUUCAGGUGAGAAAAACGUUCAUCUCUUGGAACAUAUAUAUUUAGACUCAGAAGCGGCAAUCUGCUUUCAGAAUUGGGGUCUUUUUUUGUUGGUUUCCGUCCGGUUCUUCCUCUUCGAGGAUAUGGAUACUCUUUUGUUCCACCAAGAACAGGGCGUCCAUGUUCUUUACCCUUGUCCGGACUUCCCAAAUCAUUGUAGUAAGCGUAGUCAUACACUCUAUCCCAUUCCUUUAACUCCCCUUUUCCAUCUCCACGCAGAUUUAUGAGUUCUUCUUCUCUAUAUUUGCGUAAAGUAUCAGGUGUCUGGCAUGGAAGGUAGGUCUUGUUUGAGAAGAAUACUCGAUCAUACUUGUAACGAUGGGUCGGGUAGACCCAGGAAUUACAGACAAAAUGCACCCUACCAUGCCCAGGAACAUCUUCUAUGGUGACUGUCUUGAGGUAGAACUGGCUAUGAUGAUGAUUUCUAAUGAUGAAAGCCCCAGGGACCCCCAGGCUUUCAUCCCAGUCAAAGCUAAUAUCGAACUCAAUCUCUCCGGCUGUUAUUGGGGUAAUUCUUGUUACCCAUUUCUCCAAGUGUGCUACCUUUCCAAGCUUCCCCAGCAGAUCAUUCGCUGGGUCUCGAUGGACAGCACUGAUAAGCUGUAUGGAGAUGCCUUUGCCAAACAACUCACGAAACCGAUCAAGACAUGAAGCUUUAAUGUCAUCGAAGUCGAGAACAUUUUUCUUCAUCAACACCACUUUCCCUUUGAUCUUCCUUCUCCCUUCUGUUAUGCAUUUGGCUUUAGUUUUAGGCUGGCAGCAGAUCACUUCCAUUACUUUUUGCAACAUCUCUUAGUCAAAACAAUACCCUUGCCCAAAGGCAUGCGAAUGGGUUGGAUAGCAGCCGGUGAAGGUGAACGGCGCCGAGAUGAGACUGGCGAGGUCCAGAUUCGAGAACUUGAUGAGCAAGGUCUAGAUUCGAGCGAGAGCGAGGUCCAGAUUCGACAUACAGAAAGCGUAAGAGGAAGUGAGAGACGAAGAUGGCAGGGAUGAUGAAAAUUGCAAGGGACGAUGAGAUGAAAAUGAGAAAGAGAGAGGGAGAAUUAUGGAGGGUUUUCCCUGUGUGUUUGCGUGUUUGAGGCAGUAAUAUUUUGGUUGAUUUCUUGAAUCUUGACUUGCUUAGACUCGAUGGUUUCCAAUGUUAUAUGGAGGAAGGAAGGAAGGAAGGAAGG